UUACUAUUGUUAUUAUUAAACUAUUAUAAGCUAUUAAAAGACGAUAUCACUAUGGGGGAUAGAUUCGUAAAUGCACUUUUAGGUAUUGAGCAGAAAGGCAAACCACUGGGGCACCUGGAAUAGAUA
rnacentral:lncRNA from 1 species